rnacentral:rRNA from 1 species
AGAGUUUGAUCCUGGCUCAGGAUGAACGCUGGCGGCGUGCCUAAUACAUGCAAGUCGAGCGAACGGACGAGAAGCUUGCUUCUCUGAUGUUAGCGGCGGACGGGUGAGUAACACGUGGAUAACCUACCUAUAAGACUGGGAUAACUUCGGGAAACCGGAGCUAAUACCGGAUAAUAUUUUGAACCGCAUGGUUCAAAAGUGAAAGACGGUCUUGCUGUCACUUAUAGAUGGAUCCGCGCUGCAUUAGCUAGUUGGUAAGGUAACGGCUUACCAAGGCAACGAUGCAUAGCCGACCUGAGAGGGUGAUCGGCCACACUGGAACUGAGACACGGUCCAGACUCCUACGGGAGGCAGCAGUAGGGAAUCUUCCGCAAUGGGCGAAAGCCUGACGGAGCAACGCCGCGUGAGUGAUGAAGGUCUUCGGAUCGUAAAACUCUGUUAUUAGGGAAGAACAUAUGUGUAAGUAACUGUGCACAUCUUGACGGUACCUAAUCAGAAAGCCACGGCUAACUACGUGCCAGCAGCCGCGGUAAUACGUAGGUGGCAAGCGUUAUCCGGAAUUAUUGGGCGUAAAGCGCGCGUAGGCGGUUUUUUAAGUCUGAUGUGAAAGCCCACGGCUCAACCGUGGAGGGUCAUUGGAAACUGGAAAACUUGAGUGCAGAAGAGGAAAGUGGAAUUCCAUGUGUAGCGGUGAAAUGCGCAGAGAUAUGGAGGAACACCAGUGGCGAAGGCGACUUUCUGGUCUGUAACUGACGCUGAUGUGCGAAAGCGUGGGGAUCAAACAGGAUUAGAUACCCUGGUAGUCCACGCCGUAAACGAUGAGUGCUAAGUGUUAGGGGGUUUCCGCCCCUUAGUGCUGCAGCUAACGCAUUAAGCACUCCGCCUGGGGAGUACGACCGCAAGGUUGAAACUCAAAGGAAUUGACGGGGACCCGCACAAGCGGUGGAGCAUGUGGUUUAAUUCGAAGCAACGCGAAGAACCUUACCAAAUCUUGACAUCCUUUGACAACUCUAGAGAUAGAGCCUUCCNCUUCGGGGGACAAAGUGACAGGUGGUGCAUGGUUGUCGUCAGCUCGUGUCGUGAGAUGUUGGGUUAAGUCCCGCAACGAGCGCAACCCUUAAGCUUAGUUGCCAUCAUUAAGUUGGGCACUCUAAGUUGACUGCCGGUGACAAACCGGAGGAAGGUGGGGAUGACGUCAAAUCAUCAUGCCCCUUAUGAUUUGGGCUACACACGUGCUACAAUGGACAAUACAAAGGGCAGCGAAACCGCGAGGUCAAGCAAAUCCCAUAAAGUUGUUCUCAGUUCGGAUUGUAGUCUGCAACUCGACUACAUGAAGCUGGAAUCGCUAGUAAUCGUAGAUCAGCAUGCUACGGUGAAUACGUUCCCGGGUCUUGUACACACCGCCCGUCACACCACGAGAGUUUGUAACACCCGAAGCCGGUGGAGUAACCUUUUAGGAGCUAGCCGUCGAAGGUGGGACAAAUGAUUGGGGUGAAGUCGUAACAAGGUAGCCGUAUCGGAAGGUGCGGCUGGAUCACCU